rnacentral:misc_RNA from 1 species
CAACCCUCGAACCCCUCCGGGGGGUCGGCGUUGGGGAUCGGCACUUACCUGCCGGCCCCGAAAUACAGUGGCGGUCUCGCCGCAGCCUCUCCUGCGCAGUAGUUUGCACACUCGCACCGGGAGCGCGGCGCGUCCACGGCCGUAAAACAACCCAAACUUCUGAAA